UUUCAACAACGGAUCUCUUGGCUCUCGCAUCGAUGAAGAACGCAGCGAAAUGCGAUAAGUAAUGUGAAUUGCAGAAUUCAGUGAAUCAUCGAAUCUUUGAACGCACCUUGCGCUCUUUGGUAUUCCGAAGAGCAUGCCUGUUUGAGAGUC
rnacentral:rRNA from 1 species